rnacentral:sRNA from 1 species
CCCUAGCCCAGAUAGAAGGGAAAAUCCUUUUGUGCCGGUGUUCGGCAUAAAAGAUUUGGAAUGAUAGCUGGAAAUAGC